rnacentral:rRNA from 1 species
UACAGAGGUCUCAAGCGUUGUUCGGAUUCAUUGGGCGUAAAGGGUGUGUAGGUGGCGCCGUAAGUCGGGUGUGAAAUUUCGGAGCUUAACUCCGAAACUGCAUUCGAUACUGCGGUGCUUGAGGACUGGAGAGGAGACUGGAAUUCCUGGUGUAGCAGUGAAAUGCGUAGAUAUCAGGAGGAAUACCGAUGGCGAAGGCAGGUCUCUGGGCUGACACUGACGCUCAUGCACGAAAGCGUGGGGAGCAAACAGG